rnacentral:rRNA from 1 species
UGGGGAAUAUUGCACAAUGGGCGCAAGCCUGAUGCAGCCAUGCCACGUGUAUGAAGAAGGCCUUCGGGUUGUAAAGUACUUUCAGUCGGGAGGAAGGUGUCAAGGUUAAUAACCUUGUCGAUUGACGUUACCCGCAGAAGAAGCACCGGCUAACUCCGUGCCAGCAGCCGCGGUAAUACGGAGGGUGCAAGCGUUAAUCGGAAUUACUGGGCGUAAAGCGCACGCAGGCGGUCUGUCAAGUCGGAUGUGAAAUCCCCGGGCUCAACCUGGGAACUGCAUUCGAAACUGUCAGGCUAGAGUCUUGUAGAGGGGGGUAGAAUUCCAGGAGUAGCGGUGAAAUGCGUAGAGAUCUGGCGGAAUACCGGUGGCGAAGGCGGCCCCCUGGACAAAGACUGACGCUCAGGUGCGAAAACGUGGGGAGCAAACAGG